AGUGAACGCUGGCGGUAGGCCUAACACAUGCAAGUCGAACGGCAGCACAGUAAUAGCUUGCUCUUACGGGUGGCGAGUGGCGGACGUGUCAGGAAUACAUCGGAACCUCCUUUUUCGUGGGGGAUCACGUAGGGAAACUUACGCUAAUACCGCAUCCGACCUACGGGUGAAAGCAUGGGAUCUUCGGACCUUGCGCGAUUGAAUUAGCCGAUGUCGGAUUAGCUAGUUGGCGGGGUAAAGGCCCACCAAGGCGACGAUCCGUAGCUGGUCUGAGAGGAUGAUCGCCCACACUGGAACUGAGCCACCGUCCAGGCGCCUACGGGAGGCAGCAGUUGCGAAUAUGCGACAAUAGGCGCAAGUCUGAUCCAGCCAUACCGCGUGGGUGAAGGAGGCCCUCGGGUUGUGAAGCCGUUCUUUUGGGAAAGAAAAGCUGCAGGUUCAGACCCCGCUUUUCUGACGGUACCGAAUGAAUAAGCACCGGCUAACUUCGUG
rnacentral:rRNA from 1 species